GACGAACGCUGGCGGCGUGCUUAACACAUGCAAGUCGAACGGAAAGGCCCUGCUUUUGUGGGGUGCUCGAGUGGCGAACGGGUGAGUAACACGUGAGUAACCUGCCCUUGACUUUGGGAUAACGUCAGGAAACUGGGGCUAAUACCGGAUAGGAGCUCCUGCUGCAUGGUGGGGGUUGGAAAGUUUCGGCGGUUGGGGAUGGACUCGCGGCUUAUCAGCUUGUUGGUGGGGUAGUGGCUUACCAAGGCUUUGACGGGUAGCCGGCCUGGGAGGGUGACCGGCCACAUGGGGACUGGGAUACGGCCCAGACUCCUACGGGAGGCAGAGGUGGGGAAUAUUGCACAAUGGGCGGAAGCCUGAUGCAGCAACGCCGCGUGCGGGAGGCCGGCCUUCGGGUUGUAAACCGCUUUCGCCUGUGACGAAGCGUGAGUGACGGUAAUGGGUAAAGAAGCACCGGCUAACUACGUG
rnacentral:rRNA from 1 species